GGUAUACUGUUGAUGUGGUUGAUAUUUCUGGUAUCCAAGAAGAAAUCUCCCGAGAUUCUACCUAACUUUUUGUAACUAAAGCAGCAUACAUACACAGGGGUGGGAAAAUGUCUAGACUGAUUCAACUAGCCUAUCAAAAAUCUUGGAUGCAGUUCUUUCUUGUGAAAAAGCAAGGGAACUUAAAAAAUAUCCCUGUGGGCUGGGCGCCUUGGCUCAGGCCUGUAAUCCCAUCACUUUGGGAGGCUGAGGCGGGCGGAUCAUGAGGUCAGGAGAUCAAGACCAUCUUGGCUAACACAGUGAAACCCCGUCUCUACUAAAAAUGUAAAAACGAAAUUAGUCAGGCGUGGUGGCGCGUGCCUGUAGUCCCAGCUACUCGGGAGGCUGAGGCAGGAGAAUGGCGUGAACCCAGAAGGCGAGGCUUGCCAGUUAGAGGAAAUCGCACCACUGCACUCCAGCCUGGCGACAGAGCGAGACUCUGUCAAAAAAAAAAAAAAAAAAAAAAAAGUCCCUGUGGGAACAGCUUUAGGCAAAAAUGAAACAAAUGAAAAAGAAGCUUUGUGUACUACAAAAGGAACGAUCAGAAGCAAAAGAAAUAAAAUCACAGAGAAUCAAAAAAUUAAAUGGAAACAAGAGCUCUGUAGGGUGAGAUUGACUUUAAACCAAGAAGAAGAGAAGAAAUGUCAAUAUAUUAAAUGAAAAAAUUAGGCAAGAAUUAGGAAGAAUCGAAGAGCAACGUAAGAAAAAGUUACAAGUGAAGCAACUUGAACUGGCUCUCCGAAUAUACAAAAUAUGAAAUUGAAGACUGUAAGAAGUAAUUUGAAUCAG